rnacentral:misc_RNA from 1 species
UAUAAAUUUAUAGGCACAAAGGCCCGUUUAUAACAUUCUAUAACAUACUUGGGGUAUAUGAAAAACAUAAACCUGAAAAUGUAAGGAAAGAAAAAGAUCAAUCCUCAAACCUGAAUAUGCCAGGCAUUCAGAAAGAUAUUCAGAUUUACAAAAGGUGCACAGGUGGAGAUAUAUAAAGAUGACAAGUGUGCACAUGCUCCCGAGAGAACCAGCAACAACGUAUCAGGUUUAUUUCAAUAAUGAUCCUUCCGCAGGUUCACCUACGGAAA